rnacentral:rRNA from 1 species
UACGUAGGGUGCGAGCGUUGUCCGGAAUUACUGGGCGUAAAGAGCUCGUAGGUGGUUUGUCGCGUUGUCCGUGAAAACUCACAACUCAAUUGUGGGCGUGCGGGCGAUACGGGCAGACUGGAGUACUGCAGGGGAGACUGGAAUUCCUGGUGUACGCGGUGGAAUGCGCAGAUAUCAGGAGGAACACCGGUGGCGAAGGCGGGUCUCUGGGCAGUAACUGACGCUGAGGAGCGAAAGCGUGGGGAGCGAACAGG